CCCAUAUAAGAUCUGUCUUGUCGCUGCAGCUGCAUAGACUUCGCUGACUUCGCUCAGUAAACAGCAAGAACACAUCUGCAUCAUGAAGCUUUUCUCGAUGGCUCUGGCCCUGGUGGUGGCCCUGGCAUGCCUGGUGAGCUGGACCAGCGCCAUGCCUCAGCCUGACCCCGUAGCUGACCCUGAUCCCGCGGCUGACCCUGGCUUCCGUCGCUUCGGUGGAUUGGGAUAUGGUGGAUACGGCUACGGAGGUCGUGGAUACGGGGGUUAUGGAUUUAGAGGAUAUCGCGGAUAAAGAUAACCAUGAUGCCGGAUUAUUUCCUAAGGACAGUUAGGCGGGACACGAAGCGGACGUCAAAGAAUCUUCUCUUCCUGUAUUUCUUCUGAAAUAAAUUACUUCAUAUGA